AGUUCACUCCUUCGGACAAAACUGCUCAGAUUUGUCUUUACUUUCUUUUUUCUGUCGAUUAGCGUUGUAACUUUAUGUAGUAGAGCGGUUGUAUCUGUGUGAAUAUCUCCGGCGUGUUGUGUGUUGUUUCUUUUUAAGCCUUGGAAACAUCGCUUCUUCGUGGCCGACGUCGUUUCACACGCACGAGCACCAUCUCUUACACACGUGCGUCGGAUUCGAAGUAGUGGUGUUUCUGGGUCUUUUUGGAUUUUUGCUGGGUUUUAUCCAUUUACUUAAAAGCCUUGAAUGAUCAGAUUUUAAUAGCUAUGAUAUCUGAGGGCUUUUCUUGAUAAAGUUUUGAUUUUUAAGGGUUUUGUUUUUUUCUUAGCCCGUUGAUGUAAAAGUUCGAUACUUUCUGAGUGGUGCCCUGGUUUUUUUAAUCGCUUGUUCAUGUAGUUAUCAUUGCAGCUCUUCUUCUUCUUCCCUAUCAUCAUCAUCAUCAUCAUCAUCGUCAUUGUUAACACUCUCUUCUUCUUCUUUUGUUGUUUUGCUGCUGCUGCUACUGCUACUACUUUGUUGCGAUGGACUGAAAAGUUUGUCUGAAUGGCUGAUUUUGGCUGAACAAAAAUUAAAUUUCUGCUCUUACUUACUUUGGGAACGAAUUUUGAAGGUUGGAGGUUUUGUAUGUGCGCUUAUGGGAUGCAAUGCCAACAUCAAUAGCUAUUAGAGAUUGAAAUGGGCAAAUGUGCUAAAAAAAGUGAAAGAUAUGAGAUCGAAAUGUGUAGUGUAUAGUUGUUACAUCAAUAUCAUGGUUUGUUUCACCAGUGCUUUCAUUUUGAAUUCUCAGGACUUGUUUGUUUUGUAUAAGGAUUUUAGUCAAUUUUGAAGUUAUACGAAACCAACUUAAAACG